GAUGGCGAGAGCAGAGCACUAAUGAGAUUGUUUGAAAUGAUGCAUUUAGAGCACCAACAGAUUAAAGGCAACACACUCGCUUCAGUCUGUUGCAAGACGUGGGCAAGCGAAGACAAACAGUAUACACCCAUAGGAAUACAGUGCUUGAACGCGGAGGGGCUGACCAUUAUACUACUAGACUCCAUGGUUAAUUUCUCCUGAAGAGGGAAAAGGAAGUGGAGAAGAUUACAUACAAGAUAACAGUAAGUAGCUGGAUAAUCGUGACUUAAGUUUUACACUCCCUUUUGGGGGGAUAUCUCCGAGCCUUGCAUCUCCGUAUGAGCCUUGCAGUCCCACAGGGAGACACAGAAUAUCUCAAAUUAAAGCGUGAUAGUAGCAUUAUCCUCCAUUCAUCUCGGCAGAAGUGAAGCAAUGUCAG
rnacentral:lncRNA from 1 species